AACGAACGCUGGCGGCAUGCCUAACACAUGCAAGUCGAACGAGACCUUCGGGUCUAGUGGCGCACGGGUGCGUAACGCGUGGGAACCUGCCCUUAGGUUCGGAAUAACUCCCCGAAAGGGGUGCUAAUACCGGAUAAUGUCUUCGGACCAAAGAUUUAUCGCCUUUGGAUGGGCCCGCGUUGGAUUAGCUAGUUGGUAGGGUAAAAGCCUACCAAGGCGACGAUCCAUAGCUGGUCUGAGAGGAUGAUCAGCCACACUGGGACUGAGACACGGCCCAGACUCCUACGGGAGGCAGCAGUGGGGAAUAUUGGACAAUGGGAGAAAGCCUGAUCCAGCAAUGACGCGUGAGUGAUGAAGGCAUUAGGGUUGUAAAGCUCUUUUACACGGGAUGAUAAUGACAGUACCGGGAGAAUAAGCUCCGGCUAACUCCGUG
rnacentral:rRNA from 1 species